CCUCAGGGCAGCAGGGGCUAGGGGCUCCUGCCCAAGCCUGGCUCCACAAGACCCUAAAAGCUCCAGGUAGAAAAUGAAAGAAAAUCCUCAAAAUGAGCCAUUGAAAAACAUCAUAAAAAGAGAAAACAAAUGAAUCACUUGGGUCCAUGAGAUGUCCUGUCCUACAUCAGGCCCAUGAGAUGGUCAGACCACAGCAAAGAGAUGGAGGACCAGAUGGAAGACAAUCAGAG
rnacentral:lncRNA from 1 species